rnacentral:lncRNA from 1 species
GAGUUAUGUUCAUGUAUGUUUGGUCCCUCAUUUGAGUCCACCUGUGUAGGUUCGGACCCGAGGAACCGAGGACCCCAGCAGUGAGUCAGUCACUUCAGAGUCAGUAGAGCUUCAGCCAGAAGUGAGUGGAAUAACUCUUAUGCUUUUAAAUAAAUAAAUCAGUUUUAGCAUGAUUCACACAUCAUGAAUGCCAUGAGAUAAUAGGGUGUUGCAUUAGACUCAUGAAUAUGUUGCAUUGCAUAUUACGUUUGAUGAUGUGGAUGGAUGUUGAAUGAUCCAUUAGUCCCCCUAUGCUAUGAUGAUGAUGAUACGGUACGGAAGACCAGUGAGGCCCAUUCUAUGCCACUGGCACUAUGUAAGAGAAAGACCAGUGAGGCCCAUUCUACGCCCCUGGCACAGUUGGUCCAUGUAGGGGACUAUUGGUGACAAAUUCAUCCUUGAUGUGAUUAGCUGUAUUGUGAUGCAUUCCAUGUUAUCAUAUGUUUUAAAUUAUUUUACUAUUCUGCUCACUGGGCUUUGUAGCUCACCCCUCUCCCCUAACCCCAGAUGUGCAGGUACAGGGUAGACCAGGAGGUUAGCCAGAGUUUUGAAGUAUGUUUAUGUAAUAGUUAGAUGUGGACAUGACAAUUGUACUAUGAUGUAAUGUAAGAGAUUAUAGUAUGUUAUGUAAUGAGGAAUAUUGAGGUUAUAGUUGUGCUUGACCCUAUGAGUAUUGUAAUCCCUUGUUGAUACAUGAUCUUAAUGUCUAUUGAUGUUUAUGUUUAACCAACUCAACUUAUGAUGUAUCGCCCAUUGGGGCAUUGAUGAGAUCCCACUGAGGGGUCAAGUU